CGGAGAAUGAACAUCAAGACUAGUAUGGCACAACGGGAAGAUAGAAUUUAAAAAACUGUUUAUGUUUCUGACAUUGAUCAACAGGUCACUGAAGAACAGCUUGCAGCUCUUUUUGUCACUUGUGGACAGCUGGGUAAAUUGCUUCCAUGGCCACUACUUCAAGCCUUUUCACUUCCACUGCUUUCUGUUGUUAUUGUGUUGCUGCAAACUUAUGAAAUUCAAGAAAGAAGACAAGCAGUUUUAGGAAACUGAGGCAUUUAUGUGGAGAUCAACUUUCUUAAAAAUAGUGUUCGACUGGAAUUAAUCAAAAAUAGAUAUAGGAUUUCAG